AACAAUCCCCCCAUGACCCAAUUCCACCUGCCUAAGUUAAUUUCACUCUUUUGAAGAGUCUUGGGUUUGCUUGUCUUCCUGAGGCUGCCUGUUUGUUUCUCCAGGAGGGAAUGGGAAUGCACUGGGCUUAGGCUUUGUGUUUGCUUGUUGCAAUAACAGGCGAUGCAGAGACCCCAGGCAGGUGCAGAGGAGUGCUCUUUAUUGCCAAAACCCCGGCCUUUUUAAGCAGUUAGCUGGUUAUUGGUUUCCAUAGUUUUAAGGAACAACAAGCCCAAAUCAAGCAACCACCAUAUACACCACGAUGUGGACAUGCUGUGGACACGCGGCAGUCACGCAGCACGUCUCUCGCGUUUCUGAUGUCUCUUGCAUCUCUCAGGUUUCUCUACCCCUAUUCCAGCUGAGUCACUCUCCCAUAGUUCCCUUCUACUUAGCCUAAGUAACAGGCCGGAGCCAUGUUAUGAAGCCUUCCUUUUAUAAAACUGUAGCUAUCAGUAACAUCUGCUCUCUGCUACAGAAGAUCCAAAGCUCUCUUGUCAAAACUGGUUUCUUCUUCUUCAUCUCUGGUUUGGUGCAGUAGCAAAGCAGAGUCAAAAGAUAAACCACUGUAUUUCCAGCAUGACUUUCCUCUGUUCUUUGCCAUCACUAAGGCAAAUAUAUUUUAACCUUCGUUGGUUUUCUUUUUCAGUGAUCAACCAGCACCUGCAGGAAUUUCAGAGAAAGCAAGACAACAAUUGAUCUGAAUCUUUUUGAUUCUGCCUGACAUUAUGCUCUAUGUACAGACACCUGGAGCAGGUGACACAGGAGCAUUUCCAGCCCUGGUGCCAUGUGGAAAACCCCAAAGCAUUUGGCUGAUCAGUGUUUGCCUUGAGCUCCUAGCUGAAAGGAGAGGAAGGACAGAUUGCAGCCUACACAUCCUAGGAGGAACCUUUCAAAAAUUAACCUGAGAGCAGCUGGAAAAGGCUAGUCUUACACCUUUUCCUGUGAAUGGGACACAGUCAGGAUCCCCACCGUGCCGGUUUAGCACCCAACACUCUUACACUCUGUGAUGCCAGGCUUUGACCUUGGUAAAGGUUGUGCUGCCUCUCUGCCUGCUGCAGCUGGCUGGCACCUCUGAGAAGGCUGCCACGUCACACCUUGCUGGAGUCGGGGAGAAUGUGAAGCAGAAAUGUGUGUCUGGAAGCUCAGCUGAAACACUGGAAGAGUUGCAAGCUCUGAAAGGCAGGAGCUAUGAAAUGAUUGUAUUCAGCCUAUCUAGGAAGCACUUUACAAAGGAGAAUCCUGGUCAACAUCACAUUUAAAAGAUCAAGUCUCCCUAAUGUGACCUCAUGUCCUACCUGCUUGGCUAUCACAAGGUUCCAGGUAAGGCCUUUGAGGAUUUGAAUUUGGACUCUGAAAUGUCAUGUCAGAAGUCAGCACAGAGCUUUUUUCCUGAAUUGCAGUCACACCAGUUCUGCUUUCCUGACUGCAGAGUCACAGCAGCUGUGGUGCAGCAGAGCAUCUGAAAAGAAAAUGCUAAUGGAGUUUUUUAUAGUGUACAGUAAAAGGCUCUGAUUAAAAAAAUAAUAAUGCUACACCUCAAUGCUACCUCAAACCCAGACUAUUCCUGCUUAAGAGUUUCCUUCUAGAGCCCGUAGCAGUACAGCAGAAUCCAUAACCUCAUGUGCCAUCUCCCUGCCUGUCAUAACCACAGGCAAAGCUGGAUUAGUAAUUUCCCUUAGAGGAAAGCAAAGAAGAUGUAUCUGUGUAAUGGCAUCUCCCCUGUGCCUGAUAACAAGAUCAUAAAGAGUGUGCAAGGCAGUUUUAUGGCAUAUCCUGCCAAUAUGUCAUUGUACAUACAAACAUGUCAAUCAGACACUUUAGAACUAACUGGUUCUGCAAUCAUUUCUCCAUGAGAGUUCAUUAAAAUCCAUACAGGAAUUUGCUCCAGUCAUACAAAUGUCCCCCUCAUGUCAGCUUUCUGUGAGCAUUCAGUUUAUUUAUCACCAACAACCGGUCUAUACACCGGUACACACUAUUUCAGCCUUGGAUGGGUCAGUAUUUCCACAUAUGGAUUCUGGAGUUCAUGGUCAUCCAGCUCAGAACAAGGAAUACGUCACAGACUCAGCUACACCAAAACAAAUGUUUUCCUCAAGAAGAGAGAGAAAUCUGUU